CGCGGGGUAGAGCAGCCAGGUAGCUCGUUGGGCUCAUAACCCAAAGGUCGGAGGUUCAAAUCCUCCCCCCGCUACCA
rnacentral:tRNA from 1 species